rnacentral:tRNA from 1 species
GUUUUGGUGGCCAAGUACCCUAAGGCAUCGGUCUUGUAAACCGAAAAUCGGAGGUGGAACCCCUCCCCAAAGCU